rnacentral:rRNA from 1 species
AUUGAACGCUGGCGGCAUGCUUUACACAUGCAAGUCGAACGGUAACAGGUUAAGCUGACGAGUGGCGAACGGGUGAGUAAUGCAUCGGAACGUGCCCGGUUGUGGGGGAUAACGCAGCGAAAGCUGCGCUAAUACCGCAUACGAUCUGAGGAUGAAAGCGGGGGACCGUAAGGCCUCGCGCGAUCGGAGCGGCCGCUGUCAGAUUAGGUAGUUGUUGGGGUAAAGGCUCACCAAGCCGACGAUCUGUAGCUGGUCUGAGAGGACGACCAGCCACACAGGGCGUGAGACACGGCCCAGACUCAUACGGGAGGAAGCAGGGGGGAAUUUGGGACAAUGGGCGCAAGCCUGAUCCAGCAAUGCCGCGUGCAGGAAGAAGGCCUUCGUGUUGUAACCUGCUUUUGUACGGAGCGAAAAGGCUCUCUCUAAUACAGGGGGCUCAUGACGGUACCGUAAGAAUAAGCACCGGCUAACUACGUGCCAGCCGCCGCCGUAA